AUCUAGCUGACGAGUCCCAAUUCGGACGAAACGUGCGUCCUUGAU
rnacentral:hammerhead_ribozyme from 1 species